UCCGCCUGGCUGCCCACCGAUUCCCAGUAGAAGAGCUGCUGCCCGUAGAACGUCGUCGUCUUCAUGAGCGGCGUGUCGCGGAUCUGGAGGACUGGGCGAUGACCGCGGCCUCGGGGACGCACCGGCGCUGCAGUUGAGGGAACUCUCCAGGACGUGGAGGACCACCACCUCACCCAGGGGGCGGCCGAUGGCCACCGUGCAGUCGGCCGUCGCCCGCGUCCCCGUCAUGUUGAUGGUCCCUGUGGCGCCGAGGUGGUGCUUCCCACAGGCCCCUGCAAAGGGAACGGAAACCGCAGAUGAGGGAACCGAGGAGAAGUCAACCGAGGGACCCGAGGUCAGCCAGCCGGCAAGUGACGGAGCGGGGACUAGAACCCAGGUCCCUCCGCCUCCCCGGCCCGAGCUCUACCCGCUGAGCCACGCUGCUUCCCCCGGACGGGAUCCGGUCGGGCGCGUCCGAGCGUCCGGGACGGAGAAGCCCAAAGAACGGGCAGAGGAGCCUCUCCGUGCCCAGACCGCGGGGAAGGCAGGGUCGGCACAGCCGUCCUCCUGAGGCCUCAGGGCAGAUCGGCGCCGGGAAGAGUCCCGAUUCCAGCCCUCGAAUCGGUGCUGUGGAUCCUCAAUCCAGGCGGUCCAGGAGCCGAGAGGGCGGCUCUCAGGGGCGUCUGGGCGGCACUGACCUGGCAAGGCACGGCUCCGGGUUGCACGGUUCCUGCUCCA